ACUCCUACGGGAGGCAGCAGUAGGGAAUCUUCCACAAUGGGCGCAAGCCUGAUGGAGCAACACCGCGUGAGUGAAGAAGGGUUUCGGCUCGUAAAGCUCUGUUGUUAAAGAAGAACACGUAUGAGAGUAACUGUUCAUACGUUGACGGUAUUUAACCAGAAAGUCACGGCUAACUACGUGCCAGCAGCCGCGGUAAUACGUAGGUGGCAAGUGUUAUCCGGAUUUAUUGGGCGUAAAGAGAGUGCAGGCGGUUUUCUAAGUCUGAUGUGAAAGCCUUCGGCUUAACCGGAGAAGUGCAUCGGAAACUGGAUAACUUGAGUGCAGAAGAGGGUAGUGGAACUCCAUGUGUAGCGGUGGAAUGCGUAGAUAUAUGGAAGAACACCAGUGGCGAAGGCGGCUACCUGGUCUGCAACUGACGCUGAGACUCGAAAGCAUGGGUAGCGAACAGGAUUAGAUACCCUGGUAGGAUAGCG
rnacentral:rRNA from 1 species